rnacentral:rRNA from 1 species
CCUACGGGUGGCAGCAGUGGGGGAUAUUGCACAAUGGGGGCAACCCUGAUGCAGCGACGCCGCGUGCGCGAUGGAGUACUUCGGUAUGUAAAGCUCUGUCAGCAGGGAAGAGAAUGACGGUACCUGACCAAGAAGCCCCGGCUAAAUACGUGCCAGCAGCCGCGGUAAUACGUAUGGGGCAAGCGUUAUCCGGAUUUACUGGGUGUAAAGGGAGUGUCGGCGGCAGGGCAAGCCUGAUGUGAACGCCCGGGGCUCAACCCCGGGACUGCAUUGGGAACUGCCCCGCUCGAGUGCCGGAGGGGCAGGCGGAAUGCCGAGGGUAGCGGUGAAAUGCGUAGAUAUUAGGAGGAACGCCAGUGGCGAAGGCGGCCUGCUGGACGGUGUACUGACGCUGAGGCUCGAAAGCGUGGGGAGCAAACAGGAUUAGAUACCCUAGUAGUC